GACGAACGCUGGCGGCGUGCUUAACACAUGCAAGUCGAACGAAAAUACCAAGCUUGCUUGGUUGAUUAGUGGCGAACGGGUGAGUAACACGUGAGUAACCUGCCCCUUACUUUCCUGGAUAACUGCUCGAAAGGGUAGCUAAUACUGGAUAUUCUGACCAGCCUGCAUGGGUUGGUUUGGAAAGGUUGUUUUUCUGGUAAGGGAUGGGCUCGCGGCCUAUCAGCUUGUUGGUGGGGUGAUGGCCUACCAAGGCUUUGACGGGUAGCCGGCCUGAGAGGGUGGACGGUCACACUGGGACUGAGAUACGGCCCAGACUCCUACGGGAGGCAGCAGUGGGGAAUAUUGCACAAUGGGCGCAAGCCUGAUGCAGCGACGCCGCGUGAGGGAUGAAGGCCUUCGGGUUGUAAACCUCUUUCGUCAGGGAACAAGGCACUGCUUUUUUGGUGGUGUUGAGGGUACCUGGAUAAGAAGCGCCGGCUAACUACGUG
rnacentral:rRNA from 1 species